rnacentral:rRNA from 1 species
GAUGAACGCUAGCUACAGGCUUAACACAUGCAAGUCGAGGGGAAACGACAUCGAAAGCUUGCUUUUGAUAGGCGUCGACCGGCGCACGGGUGAGUAACGCGUAUCCAACCUGCCCACCACUUGGGGAUAACCUUGCGAAAGUAAGACUAAUACCCGAUGAUAUCUCUAGACGACAUCUGAAAGGGAUUAAAGAUUUAUCGGUGAUGGAUGGGGAUGCGUCUGAUUAGCUUGUUGGCGGGGUAACGGCCCACCAAGGCGACGAUCAGUAGGGGUUCUGAGAGGAAGGUCCCCCACAUUGGAACUGAGACACGGUCCAAACUCCUACGGGAGGCAGCAGUGAGGAAUAUUGGUCAAUGGGCGAGAGCCUGAACCAGCCAAGUAGCGUGCAGGACGACGGCCCUAUGGGUUGUAAACUGCUUUUAUGCGGGGAUAAAGUGGGCCACGCGUGGCCUUUUGCAGGUACCGCAUGAAUAAGGACCGGCUAAUUCCGUG